CAAGCAAUUUUCUGGGAGCAAGAGGAAGAAGAACCAAGCACUAGAUCCUGGUCUGGGAAGGGGCUGAGCCAGUCCAGACCCAGGAAAGCAAUCUGAGUGACCAGGGGAGCAGCACACGGGACACUUUGCAAGCAGUUUGCAGGUCAGUUUGCUGCCCCUCUCUUUGAAGGAGAGCCUGAAGAACGGAAGUGUGAUAACCUACUUGCAAAGAGAGACUUUAAUGACAACAAAAUCCCAC